rnacentral:rRNA from 1 species
AUUGAACGCUGGCGGAAUGCUUUACACAUGCAAGUCGAACGGUAGAGGGGGCAACCCCUUGAGAGUGGCGAACGGGUGAGUAAUAUAUCGGAACGUGCCCAGUCGUGGGGAUAACGUAGCGAAAGUUACGCUAAUACCGCAUACGAUCUAAGGAUGAAAGCGGGGGAUCGCAAGACCUCGCGCGAUUGGAGCGGCCGAUAUCAGAUUAGGUAGUUGGUGAGGUAAAGGCUCACCAAGCCGACGAUCUGUAGCUGGUCUGAGAGGACGACCAGCCACACUGGGACUGAGACACGGCCCAGACUCCUACGGGAGGCAGCAGUGGGGAAUUUUGGACAAUGGGCGCAAGCCUGAUCCAGCAAU